rnacentral:lncRNA from 1 species
UUGGUAUCAGCCAAAGCUGACUAGACAAUUGAGGUUGGCUAGCUGAUGUGCCUAGGUUUUAGUCUCUAGAUGGUCUUGUGAUCUGUCACCUAAAGUGAUUCCUCAAUUUGUGCAGCUUUCAGGUCUAUCUAUCUAUCUUUCUUUCCUAGUCAAUGCAUCUGCUCCUGCUAUGAGUUGCGUGUAGAAUUAGCUUGUUAUUAUCAGCUUGCCUAACUAAAUUGUUGUGCUAUUGCAGACAAUUGAUCCACAGCUAAGCAAUCCAAUCCAAUUUUUUUUUCUAUCCAUUCGGAUCCGCACCAACGAAACCUGUUUGAAUACCCGCACCGUUACAACCAUCUUGAUCCGCACCAUUACCAGGUCUACCCUGACUCCUUGACUCCUGAUUCCUCUCCUCCCCGAUUCCCUCUUCUCUCCCGAUUCGCGCCGCCACCCUUCAGAUCCACCGCCGGCAACUCGCCCCCUCCACCCUCCGGCUAUCGCGGCACCACGCCCACCACCCUCCUCCACACUCAGGCCGAAGCCCAUCUCGCUGCCUCUCCCACGAAGAUCCAGCAGCGUGGCGCUCAUCUCGGAGUUCAUCUUGUCCCGGUCCAAGACCCUCCACCGAGUUGCUCAUCCACGCCCGCUGCCCUGCUCGCCCUCCCUGCCUCCCUUCCAUGUAGAUCCAUCUCAGUGUGCGGAGCUCCUUCCCCUACGUACCAAGCCGCCGUAACAAUCUGAAUUUUUGUUCCUUAUUGAUCCUACGAGACGUAGUACAGGUAUCUUUUUUAAAGAAUAUAUUUAGUUAACUGCAAUUUUUUUGGAUUAUUGAUCUCAUUGUGUGUUUCUUGUAGAACUCGGGGUCACAAUUCAUAAGGGAAGGAGAAGGACUUGUGAUUAUCUACGCAGAAGGAGGAGACGUAGUACAGGUAUCUGCAAUUUUUUUGGAUUAUGUACGCAGCUUGCCUAGUUUCUUUUGCCUCUUGAUGAUUUGUAGCACAAGUGCAGUAGCUUUGCAGCACAAAUAACCACCUAGUUGGUAGAAUUAUUUUUAGUGUUGUUUGUGUUUUGUUUAUAGUUGCUCAGUUGUAUUGUUUCAGGCUAGCUUGUAAACAUAUCAGCAAUAUGUCUGACAGUUCUAGUACUAGUAAUUCUGCCAAUGGGACCUUAGUGGUGUCCAAUACUAGGAGAUCAAAAGUCUGGAAGCAUUUUGAGCCAAAUUUGGUUUUCGUAGAUGAGAUUCCAAAGGCCGUCUGCUUGUAUUGUGGACUCAAAUUGACAGAUACUCACAGUUCUGGCACUGGUUUGUAGUAAAGAUUGGUUGACUAAACUUCCGGAGAACGAAGGUAUAACUGUAUUAUUUUAACAAGUUAUGUAAUAUGUCAACUAUUUAUAUUAUCUGAUACGCAUUUUCAUUUGUAGGUAAAGACCCAAUGGUGAUUGUCUCCUAGAUCUUUGAUCUCCAUCAAUGCCUACAGGUAUGCCAUCUUGCUUGUCGAUUUUUUUUUGAAGCCAUAGUUGCUGCUCCUCAAUAGUUGAUGUUGCUGCUGUUGCUUUGCAUUGAACUGUAGUUAUUACUACCUCCAGUUCUAAUAAUUCUUAUGAUUUGUGAGAGUACAAAAUUUAGAUUGAAGUGUAGAGUUUCAUUUUUGAAUCUUUAUUCAAGUUCUCUUGCUGAACCUUGAAUAAAGGGGCUUGUUCAAAAGAUUUUCCAUAUUUUGGCUCCUAAAGAGCAACUCUUAAACCUGUAUUGGUUAUCCGUCUGUUUUAUUUCUUGAAGAUGGUAUUGAUUUCUGCUGAUAAUAUUCAGAUGAUUGUAUAUUUCUGCUGCUGUCUGCUGCCGGGCAUUGCUGCUGUUGCUUGCUGUGCACCUGAACUUUGACAUGGAGUGAUGCUGAUAAUAUUCAUGAACUGCGAUAUGAAGCGAAGGCCUCUACCCGCAACCAUUUUCAUUGCCAUGGAGUUCAGCCCUUUUUAUGGUUACUAGUGUCGUUAGAGCUUUGUUGCUUGAUGAGAAGAGCAUGAUUAUCUUGAUGAACUGUAAAUCUAUUAUGUGCACUAUCUCAGCGUCGUUUUCUUUUAGAUGUGUUUUAUUUCUGUUUUUUCGGGACCUCUAGACCGAUUAUCAUCCUCGGUUAAUGCAUCUGGGGACACUGAUAUGAAUUAAUCAUAUUGUUACAUGAGAGCCUGACAUCGAUGUAUAUCUAAUGAUGCCAUGAAUUUUGUUACUGUAAUUGUUUUGUACAGGUCUUUGGGUUGCUACCCGUUUCUGAUUGGAUAUGUUGUACAACCUAAAGAUCACAUGAUGCUUGUACAAUGGUUCAAUAGUUGUUAAUUUUGUCCAAGAUUUGCUGUUUUAAUUCCAUAUUGGAUAGGACCCAAUAUCACUUCAGUGCUAGCUAAAAAUCACAUGAUGCUUCUGGUUUGGACGUGUAUCACUUCAACUGUAUGUGAAUGUAUCAGUGUAUCUGAAUAUAGUAGCACAGGCAGGCUGGGGAAACAUCUGCUGGCAGCGCCUCUCCUAGCGUUGGCCCCCAUGGUCUGAGACGUGGAUUCCAACCCGCAAACUUCGUACGGUCUGGUGAGGUUCGGGGGCUACCUGCAUGCGGUUUGGUAUGGUUUGGAUUAAACAAACAGAUUAGUGGGGCGGAUUGGUAUGGGGAGCGAGCUGGCUGCCGCAUGGAUCGAUCUGGGUCUGGUGCGGGUUUGUCCCCAUUACCAGGCCUAAGUCAGGGUGGAUGGGGAGAGACUAGACCAGACCAAUCCAAACCGCAUAUUCACCUAGACCAAACCGAUCCAAUCCAAAUUUUUUUUCUAUCCAUUCGGAUCCGCACCAACGAAACCUGUUUGAAUACCCGCACCGUUACAACCAUCUUGAUCCGCACCAUUACCAGG